rnacentral:rRNA from 1 species
AUUGAACGCUGGCGGCAUGCCUUACACAUGCAAGUCGAACGGCAGCACGGGAGCUUGCUCCUGGUGGCGAGUGGCGAACGGGUGAGUAAUACAUCGGAACGUACCCUGAAGUGGGGGAUAACGUAGCGAAAGUUACGCUAAUACCGCAUAUUCUGUGAGCAGGAAAGAGGGGGAGUCGCAAGACCUCUUGCUUUAGGAGCGGCCGAUGUCGGAUUAGCUAGUUGGUGAGGUAAAGGCUCACCAAGGCGACGAUCCGUAGCUGGUCUGAGAGGAUGAUCCGCCACACUGGGACUGAGACACGGCCCAGACUCCUACGGGAGGCAGCAGUGGGGGAAUUUUGGACAAAUGGGCGCAAGCCUGAUCCAGCCAUGCCGCGUGAGUGAAGAAGGCCUCGGUUGUAAG